rnacentral:tRNA from 1 species
GUUACUUUGACAGAUAUAAUGUAAUAAAUUUAGAAUUUAUUUAUGUGGUUAAUACUACAAGUAAUA